CAAAAGAAAAGAGACAAAUAAAUUUUGAAAAAGCGCUUUCGUUUUGAUUGGUGUCAAUCAAAAGUUUUAAAUUCCAUUCAAACCGUUCAUUUGCGUCGCCAAAGUGCAUUUAAAAGUGAAAACAUAGUGUGCGAACAAAUUGCAACAACAAGGUAGGCGCUUUUUGUUCCAACCCCGGCUGCUUGUAAAUGCAUUGUGCAUUGUGCAUUCCUACAAAGUUGGCGAUAACAACAGCAAAACAAUUUGACGCGUUCUUUUCACAAGCGAUUCGUUGGGCCAUUUAUAACAGUCAACCCCCAAGUUUGCAUUGGGGCGAGUGCAACAGCAAUAAGUUUCUUUGUUGUGAUAAGGCAAUUAUUGGCAAUUUAAAUUUAUUUAACAAUAAGGUAACAUUGGCCCACAAAUUGCCCACUUUUACAGAAUUCAUAGCAAAAGAGUGAUGCUUAUCAUUAACAUUGGCUCUCGCCUUCUAACCAAUGCAUUUUUGGCGAGUGUAUAAGUGGAAAUAUAUUUGUUUCGGUUUUGAAUCAGUUGACGUUUGCAUGUAGACGCGAACGAGGAGAUAAAGUGUAUAGAAAUCAAAGUUUGCUUGCACAAAAGCAAAAGGAAAAAAAAGUUGAAAAGAAGAGAAAAAGAAUUGAAAUCAAAAUAAAACUUUCGCGCCGCAUAAAUCGGACGCAAUAGAUCAGUGACUGUUUAAGUUCAUACAAAUUGCAGUUGGAGUUGAAGUGUGAGAAAAGUGGAAGAACGCAGAGUCGAUGUAUAUGCGACUACAGCGAACAGCAAUUAGAACCUGGAAGCGCCUUACAAAUCUGGUGAAUACGCUUUGGGACAGAUUAUAUAUACCAGCUUCGCCCUUUUUAGCACUUACAUACCCAUCUUCGCCUAUAAACCUACCUGAGAUGCCCAGGACACGUAGACGUCAUCAUUCCCACGAUCGUUCAUCCGGUGGUCAUAGAGAGAAGCGUAGGCGUGUCGAUUCGGAAGAGACAUCGCCUGUGCAAGCUGACGCUUC